rnacentral:rRNA from 1 species
GGACGAACGCGGCGGCGUGCUUAACACAUGCAAGUCGAACGGGUCUGCCUUGUUUUUGCGGGGUGGGUUAGUGGCGAACGGGUGAGUAACACGUGAGUAACCUGCCCCUCACUUCUGGAUAACCGCUUGAAAGGGUGGCUAAUACGGGGUGUUCUGGCUGUGCCGCAUGGUGUGGCUGGGAAAGAUUCACUUUUGUGGUGUUUUGGUGGGGGAUGGGCUCGCGGCCUAUCAGCUUGUUGGUGGGGUGAUGGCCUGCCAAGGCUUUGACGGGUAGCCGGCCUGAGAGGGUGGGCGGUCACACUGGGACUGAGAUACGGCCCAGACUCCUGCGGGAGGCAGCAGUGGGGGGUAUUGCACAAUGGGCGGAAGCCUGAUGCAGCGACGUCGCGUGAGGGAUGGAGGCCUUCGGGUUGUGAACCUCUUUCGCCGGUGAAGAAGGUCCUGCUCUUUUGUGGUGGGGUUGACGGUAGCCGGGUUAUGAAGCGCCGGCUAACUACGCGCCAGCAGCCGCGGUAAUACGUAGGGCGCGAGCGUUGUCCGGAAUUAUUGGGCGUAAAGGGCUUGUAGGCGGCUGGUCGCGUCUGCCGUGAAAUCCUCUGGCUCAGCUGGGGGCGUGCGGUGGGUACGGGCUGGCUUGAGUGCGGUAGGGGAGGCUGGAACUCCUGGUGUAGCGGUGGAAUGCGCAGAUAUCAGGAGGAACACCGGUGGCGAAGGCGGGUCUCUGGGCCGUUACUGACGCUGAGGAGCGAAAGCGUGGGGAGCGAACAGG